rnacentral:rRNA from 1 species
GUCAAACCGGCGACUCGUUGGCGUUGCGGGCUCGGUCCGUUGGUGCCCCACAAAGCAUCAGCGUGUCAACCGGCCCGCCCGUCCCCUCCUUCUGGAUUCCCGUUCCUGCUAUUGAGUUAGUGGGGACGUCACAGGGGGUUCAUCGUCGUCAGCAAUGGCAGUGGUGGGUCCCUGGGGCCCAGAUCGUUUACCGUGAAAAAAUUAGAGUGUUCAAAGCAGGCAGAUCCAAUUUUCUGCCACCGAAUACAUUAGCAUGGGAUAAUGGAAUAGGACCCUGUCCUCCUAUUUUCAGUUGGUUUGAGGACCAGGGUAAUGAUUAAUAGGGAUAGUUGGGGGCAUUAAUAUUUAAUUGUCAGAGGUGAAAUUCUUGGAUUUAUGAAAGAUUAACUUCUGCGAAAGCAUCUGCCAAGGAUGUUUUCAUUAAUCAAGAACGAAAGUUAGGGGAUCGAAGACGAUCAGAUACCGUCGUAGUCUUAACCAUAAACGAUGCCGACCAGCGAUUAGGAGACGUUGAAUACAAAACACCACCAUCGGUGCGGUCGUCCUUGGCACAUCAUUGGCGCAAGCCAGUGGUGGGCGAGGGCGAUUUAGCCUGAUGGCAUCGGUGAAUGACUCCCCUAGCAGCUUGUGAGAAAUCAUAAGUCUUUGGUUCCGGGGGAGUAUGGUCGCAAGCUGAAACUUAAAGGAAUUGACGGAAGGGCACCACCA